ACCCGCUGAACUUAAGCAUAUCAAUAAGCGGAGGAAAAGAAACCAACAGGGAUUGCCCUAGUAACGGCGAGUGAAGCGGCAACAGCUCAAAUUUGAAAUCUGGCUUCGGCCCGAGUUGUAAUUUGCAGAGGAUGCUUUUGGUGCGGUGCCUUCCGAGUUCCCUGGAACGGGACGCCACAGAGGGUGAGAGCCCCGUAUGGUCGGACACCAAUCCUGUGUAAAGCUCCUUCGACGAGUCGAGUAGUUUGGGAAUGCUGCUCUAAAUGGGAGGUAAAUCUCUUCUAAAGCUAAAUACCGGCCAGAGACCGAUAGCGCACAAGUAGAGUGAUCGAAAGAUGAAAAGCACCUUGAAAAGGGGGUUAAACAGUACGUGAAAUUGUUGAAAGGGAAGCACUUGUGACCAGACUUGGGCCGGGCGGCUCAUCAGGGGUUCUCCCCUGUGCAUUCCGCCCGGUACAGGCCAGCAUCGGUUCUUACCGGGGGAUAAGAACGGCAGGAACGUGGCUCCCUCUCGGGGGAGUGUUAUAGCCUGCCGUACGAUACCCUGGCGGGGACCGAGGUUCGCGCUUCCGCAAGGAUGCUGGCGUAAUGGUUACUAGUGACCCGUCUUGAAACACGGACCAAGGAGUCGUCCAUUAGAGCGAGCGUUUGGGUGUAAAACCCGCACGCGUAAUGAAAGUGAAAUUAGGUGAGAGCUUCGGCGCAUCAUCGACCGAUCCUGAUGUUCUCGGAUGGAUUUGAGUAAGAGUUUUAACGGACGGACCCGAAAGACAGUGAACUAUGCUUGUAUAGGGUGAAGCCAGAGGAAACUCUGGUGGAGGCUCGCAGCGGUUCUGACGUGCAAAUCGAUCGUCAAA
rnacentral:rRNA from 1 species